GUCAAGGAGUCCGGGCCUCGUAGCAGUCCUCUGCAUAUUCUGCAUCUGUCUGGGUCUUCUGCUGGCUGUUGGAAUUGCAAAGCUCAUUACUUCCAGAGGUUCCACAUUUCAGAGGCUUGAAGAUGUGCCAUUGGGCAAAAUAAAUGAAGAGUCUCCAUUUGCCCGUUACCCUACAAAACAAUUCUGAAAGAAAACACAUCAUGAGAGAAGGUGGAUGGAUGCAUCAAGGAACUGAAUACAGAAGAUGCACAGACAAUGUCUGCGUUUACACAGGUAGCCCAAUUCUGAUCUUUUGGCAAAUUGUUAGCGAAAUAUCUGAUUUGUCAAAAAGACCAAUUAUUGGCACAAUAUCAGAAUUGGGCUGCCUUUAUAAACACUGCCAAUGUGUCAGGUAUCACUAGAAAUAAAGCUAUGAAAAAA